UUUUACGUGACCCCGUCUAUUAGUUUACUGUCAGCCGAAGUCUCAAACCGGAAGGCACGCGUAGAAAACAUGAAUUGAGUCUGCGCGUAAGAAAAUAGUGCAAAAAGUUUUCAUGCAUUUCAGUAAAAAAGUAUUAUAAAAACACGCAUUAAAUCUGUUUAAGUCCUCUGUGUAUAAACCAAAUUUUAUUUAGAAAAUAUACAAAUAGUUUUAUUGAUCAUAAUAUUCUUGCUCGGGUUAAAAUGUGGAAUGAGUUACGUAACUGAAUGCACAACGCCGUUGACGAUUCAGUUGGUGUACAAGCUAAUUAAUCAAUAAAAGAAGUUGAAGGUUGAAUCGAAAGUAAAGUUCCCAAACGCAAUGUGCCAUUUUUGAAAAGUCGUGAAUUUUAUUUUGACAAUCUUUCACCUGAAUACUACCCAACUUCAUGCGCAAGCCAAAGUUAAAAUCAGGACGGAUUAUACAAAGAUGGCUUACAUAUUAAAAAAUGUCUUACAUAUUAAAUAAGUGUUUCAUUGGCUUCCAGUCUACUUGCGGUAUGACUGCUGUUCGUUUCUGAAGGAAUUUUGUACAUAGAAAAUAAAAACAAGUCUGAAUUUCC
rnacentral:misc_RNA from 1 species